UUUAUUAUAUAUAUAUAUAUAUAACUCAGAAAUCACCCUAAGUUCGACCAUAAUAUAAAACCAGAGUUAAAAAAACCAUUAGGAUGAACCCAAAAAAAAUUCACAAAUUUAUUUUCUCCUUUGUUUUUAGUUUGACCAAUUAAUGCAUACUUUCAGUCAAUUAUAGAGAAUAACCAAAUAUAUUUCCCAUCCAUUAGUUUAUUUUAUUCUUCAUUUAAUUACCAUUCCAUUAUUCUAAUCUAAUAAAGAUGUUGUUAGGGUAUAAGGCUUGUGUCUGAAGGUAGGAAUGAGCAUCAUAAUUUGUCAACUCCCCUGAACAAAGGGUCGUUUUGUUUCCUUAAUUGAACUUCUACCAAUAGACAGGUAUGAGAUGUCAUAUUCACAGCUAGAAAUCAG
rnacentral:misc_RNA from 1 species